rnacentral:rRNA from 1 species
UAGGGAAUCUUCCACAAUGGACGCAAGUCUGAUGGAGCAACGCCGCGUGAGUGAAGAAGGUUUUCGGACCGUAAAGCUCUGUUGUUGGUGAAGAAGGAUAGAGGUAGUAACUGGCCUUUAUUUGACGGUAAUCAACCAGAAAGUCACGGCUAACUACGUGCCAGCAGCCGCGGUAAUACGUAGGUGGCAAGCGUUGUCCGGAUUUAUUGGGCGUAAAGCGAGCGCAGGCGGAAGAAUAAGUCUGAUGUGAAAGCCCUCGGCUUAACCGAGGAAUUGCAUCGGAAACUGUUUUUCUUGAGUGCAGAAGAGGAGAGUAGAAACUCCAUGUGUAGCGGUGGAAUGCGUAGAUAUAUGGAAGAAUACCAGUGGCGAAGGCGGCUCUCUGGUCUGCAACUGACGCUGAGGCUCGAAAGCAUGGGUAGCGAACAGGAUUAGAUACCCUUGGUAGUCCAUGCCGUAAAACGAUGAGUGCUAAGUGUUGGGAGGCUUCCGCCUCUCAGUGCUGCAGCUAAACG